rnacentral:rRNA from 1 species
GACAGAGGUGCCGAGCGUUAGGCGGAAUCACUGGGCUUAAAGCGUGUGUAGGCGGAUUCCUAAGUACCUUGUGAAAUCCCACGGCUUAACCGUGGAACUGCUUGGUAUACUGGGUGUCUUGAGCCAACUAGAGGCAGUCGGAACAAACGGUGGAGCGGUGAAAUGCGUAGAUAUCGUUUGGAACGCCAAUGGUGAAAACAGAACUGCUGGGGUUGUGCUGACGCUGAGACACGAAAGCCAGGGAGCGGAACGG